rnacentral:lncRNA from 1 species
UGAAGUCACUAGGGUGGGCCCUAAUCCAACCUGACAGGUGUCCUCAUAAGUAGAGGAGAUGAGGACACAGACACAUGGAGGAAAGACCAUGUGGGGACACAGGGAGAAGAUGGCUGAGGGGAGAGGCCAGAGGAGAAACCAGCCCUGUCCAUGUGUUGACCUGGGACUUCCAGCCUCCAGCAUGGUCUUUGUCUCUGACAAUUUGCCUCUGUGACGUGGAUGGGACUGGAAGUCCAUUUGGAGCCCUGUCUUCUCCACCUAGGGAGAGAGACCCCAUGAGCUCGUCAAGCUCCUUCUGUGACUGAUCAGAGAUCCCACCGUGAGUCCAGCUCCUGGUCCCAUGCUCUGGAUAUAUCGGUCCCUGGCAGCGUGCAACUCCUUAGCCAAAGACGUGGCAACUGCGGGUGAAGUAUCUCUGGGCAGGAAAUCAAUGCAGAAAUGCAACUGGGGAGAGGGGGCUUGGGGGCCAGUUCCAGGGAGAUUGGAACUGCUGUGUUCUCAUCAGCAGAAGUGGCCCCUGCCCACCCCCAUCCUAAUCCCUUCUCAUGUGGGAGAAGGUCUGUGAGCCCUCUCCCUACCAGGCAGGUUCUAUGGCAAUGUGGGCACAUACCCUGGGGCAGGGGCCGAGGGACUUAACUCACUUCAUGAGCGCCAAUGGAGGAGCGAAGGGAAUGCCUGAUGAAAACAACAUUCUACCAGUAUGCACUGUUUUCUAACCUACAGAGUGCCUCUGUGUUCACUGUCCCAUUUGAGAAUUCUAAGUAGAAUUCUGAACAGGCUGGAGCAGAUUGCCCACCCCAAGGGACAGAUGUUGGCUGGUACUGUUGGUAUUCAUGGAAGAUUCCUUCUGACACUCCCUCCUUCUUUGUAAUUGCCAUGAACUGGAGCACUGGGCCAAUAUAAAUCAUCCAAGGGUGAACACGCUGCACAUGGACGGCUCCUCUUUGUUUUUGAAGGGAUUCCAUCUCUAUUUUGCCAUGUGCUCCUUCACCCCACUCCCCACCCCCGUCUUUCAUUUCUUUCUCUGGAAAAGAUACUUCAACUCACAGGACUGCGAUGUUGAAACGGACACCCAAGAGCAUCACAGAUGGGCCAGGCCUGGACCUCUCGGGACAACAUUCCUCACGACUUUUAGAUAGAAGAGAUUAGAGAUUUGGGACUGGUGGCAACUGGUAACGUUUUCAGUGUUUGGUAAACAGCCAGGGUCCGGAGCUCUGGGAACAGCCUGAUUUAGCUCUUUGUUUAAGUUUUGUGUUAGAGGCUCCCAAGAAGCUGAUGCAGGGGAAAGAAAUUAACAACCAUGGCUCAUUCACAGCCAGGCAGCCAAAUGGACAGCUCUAUAAGACUCAAGCCGACAGCGGAGAGAGUGCAACCAAACAGCCUUGGCCCAGCUUUCAGAGGAGAACGUUAUUCACCCCAACUGCUCUGCAUCUGCCUGGAUGUCUGCCAAGAUCUGUGAGCAUUACAGCGUUGGUAUGCUUUGGGUGAGGCCUGUGGCUAUGGCAACAAGUUGGGAGCAACCCGGUCCCUGGGAAUGAGAACAGUGUCUAAAAUCAGGCAGGCGAGGGGCAGGGAGGAGAGGUAAAGGUUGGACUUGCCUGAAGAUGGAGCCGUUUUAUUGUUGUGGGUAAAGCUGCUACCAUUAGGGGCUGUUUACAGAGUGGGUGCAGCUCAAGCUGGGAGCAUGUUAGACUCAGCGACUACGAUCAACCUAUUGACUUGUUCCCAUGAGACAGAGUAAAUUAACUGUUGCAGUACUGGUCAUGUACCACCAACCUCCUGUGAACCAGCCCUCAGUGAAACAUUUAUGUGAAAGGCCAUGGUGUUCCCAUAAGAGGGUGCAUGUUCUCUCCCUUGACUAACUCUUCAGUAUGCCUCAUUCUCACGCGCUGGUGUGCAGGAAGGAGUCCAACAUGCCCCAUUGACAGUCAUGCCCUGUAUGUGGAAAGUCUUCAGGUAGAGCACUGGGCUCAGGUUUGAAGAUGUGAGUUCUAAUCCUAGCAAGGCCAUUACCUCCCAGUGACCUCAUGUCUCGAUUUCCUCAACCACAAAACAAAGGCAUUGGUGAGCUGACCUCUAAGGCCUCUCCAGUUCUCACCUUCUGUGUCUCUACAGACUGGAGACUAGAAGAUUAUGGGCACUUUUAUUGAGUCUUCAUUUUGUUUCCAUUUCUUUGUAGUCAUCAGCUGGAGUUGAGGACAAGUUUUAACAAUAGAUAGGUUUCUUUUUGUCUCUUUUUAAAAAAUUUUAUUUAAAAUAAAUGCCAAGUGUAGUGGCUCAUACCUGUAAUCCCAGCACUUUGGGGAGGCCAAGGUGGGAGGAUUGCUUUUGAGUUUGAGACCAGCCUGGGCAACGUGGUGAGACCCUGUUUGUACAAAAAAUUUUAAAUUAGCCAGGCAUGGUGGCGUGUGCCUAUAGUCCUAGCUACUCUGGAGGUAGAGGCAGGAGGAUCCCUUGAACCUGGGAGGUUGAGGCCACAGUGAGCUGUGAUUGUGCUAUUGAACUCUAGCCUGGGCAACAGAGCAAGACCCUGUCUCUUAAAAAAGACUAUUUUUUAAGAACACUUUUAGGUUCACAGCGAAAUUUGGAGGAAACUUGGCAUAUGUCAUAUGCCCCCUGCUCCCAUGCAUGCACAGCCUCUACCAUUAGCAAUGUCCCCACUCAAAUGGUACCUUUGUUGUAAUCAACAACCCUGUACUGACACAUCAUCAUCACCCAAACUCCAUAGUUCACAUUAGGUUUCACUCUUGGUGUGGUGUACAUUCCAUGGGCUUGAACAACUGUAUAAUGACAUUAUCCACCACUGCAGGAUCAUACAGAGUAGUCUCACUGCCCUAAAACUACUCUGUGCUCCACCUGUUUGUCCCUUCUUUCACUCUAAACUCCUGGCAACAACUGACCUUUUUACUGCCUCGAUAGCUUUGCCUUCUUCGGAAUGUCAUGUAGUUGAAAUCAUACAUCAUGAAGCCUUUUCAGAUUGGCUUCAUAUAGGUUUCCUUCCUUCCUUCCUCCCACCACCUUCCUUUCUUUCUGUAUUCCUAACUCUUGGAUGUAUUUUCCCCAGCAUCAUGACUUGAUGGGACUUUUGCUAAGAUAGGCAAUCAUAGAAAGUCAUAAAUCUCUUGUCAGCCUUAUUGGCUCACCUCCGAGAUGGUUCCAACACUCUUUAAGGCCCACUUUUCCAAUCCACAGAUUCCCCAGCAGAAGUCCAAGCUGCUGAGCCUCACAUCAUCUUUUGCACUAGUAAUCUUUACCACUACUUCACUGUAGCAUUUGAAAAUUUUCAUAUGAAGCCAUAGUUCUGUGUCUUUUUUUUUUUUUUUUUUUUUUUGGAGACGGAGUCUUAACCUGUUGCCCAGGCUGGAGUGCAGUGGCACAGUCUUAGCUCACUGCAAGCUCCGCCUCACGGGUUCAAGUGAUUCUUGCCUCAGCCUCCCAAGUAGCUGGGAUUACAGGCGCGCCACCAUGCCCAGCUAAAUUUGUUGGCAUUUUUAGUAGAGAUGGGGUUUCACCAUGUUGGCCAGGCUGGUCUCAAACUCCUUACCUCAGGUGAUCUGCCUGCCUCAGCCUCCCAAAGUGCUGGGAUUAAAGGUGUGAGCCACCGCACCUGGCCUGAAGCCAUAGUUCUUAACCUCAGUUGUGCAAUAGAAUUAUCUGGGGAAUUUAAAAAUUAGAAAAAACCCAUGCCCUGAAGAUUGUGAUCUAACUGGUCUUGCGUAGCGCCUGGGCAUUGGUAUUUUUUAAAUGUUUCCCAACUGAUACUAAUGUGGCCAUUCUGCAAGCCACAGUUGAAAGGCUUAUUCAAGCAUCCUGUUGCUGAAUGCAUGUCGUCCUUACCACAUGACUCUGGAGGUUUUCUUGUAUUCUGAUGUGGCUGCCCUGUUGAGGCCUGCCCCUUAGAGUGGAGAUUAUCCCCUGCAGUAGGCUGCCUGGAAUAUGAUCCCCAGUGAUCCCUGCUUCCUGGUAUUCAGGCCCUGGUGUGAUCCCUUUCCCUUGAAGCCUGGGCUGGAUUAGUGACUUGCUUCUAACCAACAGCAUAUGGCAAAAAUAAAUGUUUAUUGUUUUAAA